UACGGAGGGUGCGAGCGUUGUUCGGAAUCACUGGGCGUAAAGGGCGUGUAGGCGGUCCGCUAAGUCUGAUGUGAAAGCCCGGGGCUCACCCCCGGAAGUGCAUUGGAAACUGGCGGGCUUGAAUCCGGGAGAGGGAUGUGGAAUUCCAGGUGUAGCGGUGAAAUGCGUAGAUAUCUGGAGGAACACCGGUGGCGAAGGCGGCAUCCUGGACCAACACUGACGCUGAGUGAGCGAAAGCCAGGGGAGCAAACGGG
rnacentral:rRNA from 1 species